rnacentral:rRNA from 1 species
GUCUACAGCUACCCUGAACACGCUCGAUCCUAUCUGUUCACGGAAGCUAAGCAGGGCCUGGUUAGUACUUGGAUCGGAGACCACCUAGGAAGACCAGGUUCCGUAGGUG